rnacentral:rRNA from 1 species
GAUGAACGCUGGCGGCAUGCCUAAUACAUGCAAGUCGAACGAGAGGAAGGAAAGCUUGCUUUUCUGAAUCUAGUGGCGAACGGGUGAGUAACACGUAGGUAACCUGCCCAUGUGCCCGGGAUAACUUCUGGUAACGGAUGCUAAAACCGGAUAGGUAGCAGACAAGCAUUUGACUGCUAUUAAAGUGGCUAAGGCCAUGAACAUGGAUGGACCUGCGGUGCAUUAGCUAGUUGGUGAGGUAACGGCCCACCAAGGCGACGAUGCAUAGCCGGCCUGAGAGGGCGGACGGCCACAUUGGGACUGAGACACGGCCCAAACUCCUACGGGAGGCAGCAGUAGGGAAUUUUCGUCAAUGGGGGGAACCCUGAAUGAGCAAUGCCGCGUGAGUGAGGAAGGUCUUCGGAUCGUAAAGCUCUGUUGUAAGAGAAAAACGACAUUCAUAGGGAAUGAUGAGUGAGUGAUGGUAUCUUACCAGAAAGUCACGGCUAACUACGUGCCAGCCGCCGCGGUAAAAC